UACAUGUGAUUAAAAUUGUGCCGACAUCCCAUACUUUAGUAGUCAAAUCCCACUGCUGAUAGAACAUCUCUUUUAGAUUCCAAUUGCAAACUGGAUGAAGUUUUUGAAAUCUGAAAUCUGAAAACCCAACAACCUUGUUUCCAUUUUCUUCUUUCUUCUUUUUCCCUUAUUUUUAUCAUUAUUAUUUCAAAAUAUAAUCUGCAAUUUAAUCCCCAAAUUCCAUAUUAUG
rnacentral:lncRNA from 1 species